UACAGAGGUCCCAAGCGUUGUUCGGAUUCAUUGGGCGUAAAGGGUGCGUAGGUGGCGCUGUAAGUCGGGUGUGAAAUUUCGGAGCUUAACUCCGAAACUGCAUUCGAUACUGCGGUGCUUGAGGACUGGAGAGGAGACUGGAAUUCAUGGUGUAGCGGUGAAAUGUGUAGAGAUCGGGAGGAACACCUAUGGCGAAGGCAGCUCGCUGGGGACGUUACUGACGCUGAGACGCGAAAGCGUGGGGGAGCAAACAGG
rnacentral:rRNA from 1 species